GCCCUAGUAGCUUAAUCGUCUAAAGCACCGGUUUUGUAAUCCGAAGAUCGGAGGUUAAAAUCCCCCCUAGCGCC
rnacentral:tRNA from 1 species